rnacentral:rRNA from 1 species
GACGAACGCUGGCGGCGUGCUUAACACAUGCAAGUCGAGCGGUAAGGCCCUUUCGGGGGUACACGAGCGGCGAACGGGUGAGUAACACGUGGGCGACCUACCCUCAGCUUCGGGAUAAGCCUGGGAAACUGGGUCUAAUACCGGAUAUGACCACAUGUCGCAUGGUGUGUGGUGGAAAGUUUUUUCGGCUGGGGAUGGGCCCGCGGCCUAUCAGCUUGUUGGUGGGGUGAUGGCCUACCAAGGCGACGACGGGUAGCCGGCCUGAGAGGGCGACCGGCCACACUGGGACUGAGAUACGGCCCAGACUCCUACGGGAGGCGGCAGUGGGGAAUAUUGCGCAAUGGGCGAAAGCCUGACGCAGCGACGCCGCGUGGGGAUGACG